rnacentral:rRNA from 1 species
UACAGAGGGUGCGAGCGUUAAUCGGAAUUACUGGGCGUAAAGCGCACGUAGGCGGCUUGGUAUGUCGGGUGUGAAAUCCCCGGGCUCAACCUGGGAACUGCAUCCGAAACUGCCUUGCUCGAGUAUGGGAGAGGGAAGUGGAAUUUCCGGUGUAGCGGUGAAAUGCGUAGAUAUCGGAAGGAACAUCAGUGGCGAAGGCGGUUCUCUGGGCAUUGCCUGACGCUGAGGAGCGAAAGUGUGGGGAGCGAACAGG